rnacentral:rRNA from 1 species
UACGGAGGGUGCAAGCGUUAAUCGGAAUUACUGGGCGUAAAGCGUGCGCAGGCGGUUUGUUAAGUCUGCUGUGAAAUCCCCGGGCUCAACCUGGGAAUGGCGAUGGAUACUGGCGAGCUAGAGUGUGUCAGAGGAUGGUGGAAUUCCCGGUGUAGCGGUGAAAUGCGUAGAGAUCGGGAGGAACAUCAGUGGCGAAGGCGGCCAUCUGGGACAACACUGACGCUGAAGCACGAAAGCGUGGGGAGCAAACAGG